rnacentral:rRNA from 1 species
GACGUAGGGCGCGAGCGUUGUCCGGAUUUAUUGGGCGUAAAGAGCUCGUAGGCGGCUUGUUGCGUCGACCGUGAAAACCCGGGGCUCAACUUCGGGCUUGCGGUCGAUACGGGCGGGCUAGAGUUCGGUAGGGGAGACUGGAAUUCCUGGUGUAGCGGUGAAAUGCGCAGAUAUCAGGAAGAACACCGAUGGCGAAGGCAGGUCUCUGGGCCGAUACUGACGCUGAGGAGCGAAAGCGUGGGGAGCGAACAGG